GAAAAUGGCAUCAUAUGACACUGGUUAUGAAGAUGAAUUAUUUCAACAUCCUGUUAGCCACACGUUGCAUUGUGGUAUAUGUCUGAAUGUUUUGAAGGAUCCAGUUUCGUGUCGACAUAAUGAGCAUUUGUUCUGUCGAGCUUGUAUCACCAUACAUCUCAUGAACUUUCAAACAUGUCCAUCGUGUAUGGAACCACUCACUGUCGAAUCACUGCGCCAAGCACCUCGGACCGUAACCAACUUACUUUCCGAAUUGAAAAUCCGCUGUCAAUUCUUCGAUCGUGGUUGCGGACAGUUUGUUGAAUUAGGAGAUCUCGAAAGGCAUGUCACUGACUGUGGGUUCGCCCCAGCAGUCUGCUUUAACGAAGGAUGCCAACUUGAGGUGAAUAAGCAAGAUUUACUACACCAUGAAACAGCUGUGUGUGAAGUACGCAGAGUCAAGUGCCACAAUUGCAACGAAAUCAGACAAGAGAUGGAUACAGUGAAAGUUAAUUUGGCAGCAAUAAAUGAAAAGUUGAAGGGAGUUGGGAAACAGUUGGCCAGAAAUGACAGAAAUCAGGAGAAUGUUAAAACAGCCGUGGGAAAUGUGGUCGUAAAAGUUGGACUGGUUCAAGAACAACUUCGAGGACAACUUAACAAGCAGGAAGAAAGCAAUCGUCAGCUUAAAGCGGACAAUGUAGAAAUGAAGAGAAGUUUAAAUGAAAUUACGAAACAACUGGAAAGAAUGACACAACAAACAUUGCAUAAAGUUCAGGCUGAAGAAAUGAAGAAAGAUAUUGCAGAAGGUGGAAUGGACAGGGAGCCGAAAGUCGUUAUUGCUGGAGGCUCGAAUGGGGGAAAACAUCUAAAUUCAG
rnacentral:lncRNA from 1 species